UACGGAGGGUGCAAGCGUUGUCCGGAUUUAUUGGGUUUAAAGGGUGCGUAGGCGGUCUUUUAAGUCAGUGGUGAAAUCCUGCAGCUCAACUGCAGAACUGCCAUUGAUACUGGAAGACUUGAGUACAGACGAGGUAGGCGGAAUUGAUUGUGUAGCGGUGAAAUGCAUAGAUACAAUCAAGAACUCCGAUUGCGUAGGCAGCUUACUAGGCUGUAACUGACGCUGAGGCACGAAAGCGUGGGGAGCGAACAGG
rnacentral:misc_RNA from 1 species